UACUUUUAGGUGUAAGAUGCACACUAAUUUUUGAUAUUAGGGGUUAAUAGUUUAAUUCUAUUAAUUGUAA
rnacentral:tRNA from 1 species